UGCGGUGACUUUUUGAAUUUGCUUCUCCGUGCGUUGGGGGCUGUGCGGCUCCAGCACCAGCAGACGGACGUCAGAGUGCACAACGGCCUCUUUGUCCACAUCCGAAAUUGAAAACUGGGCUCGGCUGAACUUUGAGAAAAACAGAACAGAAAAGUUAAAAGUUAUGUGAGCUGCCACGUGCAUGUGGGAAUCUCAGGUGGAAAAUAUUCACUGCGCAGAUUGUAGGUCCAGAAUGGGACUGCAGCUGCAUUGCAGGCUGGCUUCCAGGACGUCUUUUGAUCAGGCGAGCGAUUGAUGUUGACCCCGCUGCACAAGGUGAGCUGAGACUUCGGUUCCAAAGGAGAAGUUAUGAGCUGCGUUUAUUCAGAGCGUUCACGCAUGUGGCUCCAGAUUGGGCAUCGUAAUGCUGAUCCGAACAAGCUGGGAUAUAAUACACUCUGUAAGACGUCACAUGGGGACAAAUACAGGAAGUGACAUCAUUUAGC